CCCCCACCACCCCGCCAGGUCACGUGUGGACUCUUCCAGGGAAGAUGGAUGUUGUUCUCUGUUACGCCCCCCCACCGCCCCGCCAGGUCACGUGUGGAUUCUUCCAGGGAAGAUGGAUGUUGUUGUGGAUUUCAGCUUUGACCCAUAUUCCUCUUCUCAGCGGAAAUUCCAGAGAUUUUUUUUGUCCAACGCCCCAUUUCCACGUUGCCAAACUUCUGACUAGGUUCCUUUUUUAUCAUUUGGAAACCAGUGUCUGCAACAUGCAGAGGAUGGAAUGAGAAUCUAAGAGUCUCCCAGGAGAAGGCUGAUGGUUAAAUGGUUGAGAAGGCCAACAAACCCCCUCCAAUUAGGGAUUAGUCUUGUGACAUAUCCAUAACAGCAGUCUAUUUGCAGCCAUUUUAUUUCUAUAGUACUUUUGACAGGGACAACGUCUCAAAGAUGUUUUACAGAAAAAGAAGAAAUAAAGCUGGGAAAGACAUCUACGGCGUGUCUGAACUCCUCAAAAAAAACAAAAACAGAAA